rnacentral:lncRNA from 1 species
CGACAGAGGAUGAGAUGGCUGGAUGGCAUCACUGACUCGAUGGACGUGGGUCUGAGUGAACUCCGGGAGUUGGUGAUGGACAGGGAGGCCUGGUGUGCUGCGAUUCAUGGGGUCGCAAAGAGUGGGACACGACUGAGCGACUGAUCUGAUCUGAACCUGUUCACAAAACCGAAAAGCGAAUUCCGAACCUAAGCCCCCGCCCUCAGAGGCCGCGGAGACACCGCUGCCCUCGCUGCCUCCUCAAGGAAAGCGACGCGCCAAGUUUAAAUAAGGCGCCGUCUCCUCAUUGGCUGGCGCUGCUGCUGGUUGAUUGGCUUCGCGCGAAGGUGGGCGGUACCGGGCGUGCCCAUUGGUGGAGGCGGGAAUUUUAAACUGGGCGAUGCCCCUGCGCCAUUAGCUCCUCCUUGCAGUUUGAGAGUCUCUUGGCCUGGCUAUCUUCCUGGGACUCGGCGAUUCGAGAAGGGGCGAAUUCUCUCUAGAUCCCCGCAGCUCCUCGAGGGGACGCGGUGCGCCUUCCUUCGGAGGCCGCUCGGAGCAUCCCGGCGGACCCGGAGGCCUCGGUGGCGACCUGGCACCCAGUCAAGAACGAAUGAUAAUCUACUGUAGUUCUGCUUUCAAUGAAGAGGGAGAACUCCGAUGAAAGUACUUUACUUAUGACUUCUUAAUCAGAGGUAAAAAUAGUGCAGAUAAGUAUUUAUUUACAAUUUUUAUUUGAUCGUAUAUGUAUUUGUUGCUAUGUGUAAAAUAUUUUGGCCUACGUAAAGGAAGAAAGAAAUAGUCCAAAAACUUGCUUAUUUCUAGGAAUACUUAUGGGGGCCUAUCUAAAAUAGUGCUUCUUCAUCUCACAUAAAGUAUGGACCCUUUUUUUUCCCUCCAAUUUUGCAAAAGCCUACUUCAGAAACAAGUCUUAGAGGGUAGAGUUUUAUUCUAUGAAUAACAUUCUACCAUUGCUACAGAUAACUUUUAUAUUUGGUAUACUUGUGGUUUAUUUUCAAUUACCCGAAUGAGGAGGCAUAAGAGACAUGGGUUUGAGCCCUGGAUGGGAGAGAUCCUCUGGAGGAGGGUAUGGCAACCCACUCCAGUAUUCUUGCCUGGAAAAUCCCGUGGAUAGAUUCUGUAGUCUAUGGUGUCGCAAAGAGUUGAACAUGACUGAAGCCACUCAGCACCCACACACACGCACCUAAAUGAGAACAAAACAGAAUUUGAUCUAACAUUUGCCUUUCCUUUGCCAAAGCAUCAUUAAGCUUCAACCUGCCGAGCAUCGUAGGCAUAUUAGAAACAGGCUCUUCCUGUUGUCAGUAGUCGUGACUGAUCCUUAUUGAGGUACGUUCAA